rnacentral:tRNA from 1 species
GCGGAUGCAGUGUAACGGUUACACGCCACAUUUGGGAUGUGGAAUAGGCGUUCAAUUCGCACAUCUGGCA